CCUACGGGAGGCAGCAGUGAGGAAUCUUGCGCAAUGGGGGCAACCCUGACGCAGCAACGCCGCGUGAGUGAUGAAGGCCUUCGGGUCGUAAAGCUCUGUCAGAUGGGAAGAAGGUUCCGUUUCUGAAUAAGAAACGGAAUUGACGGUACCGUCGAAGGAAGCACCGGCUAACUCCGUGCCAGCAGCCGCGGUAAUACGGAGGGUGCAAGCGUUGUUCGGAUUUAUUGGGCGUAAAGAGCGUGUAGGCGGCCAGGUAAGUCAGAGGUAAAAUCCCUUGGCUUAACCAAGGAAGGGCAUUUGAAACUGGCGGGCUUGAGUACGGGAGAGGGAGAUGGAAUUCCAGGUGUAGCGGUGAAAUGCGUAGAUAUCGGGAGGAACACCGGAGGCGAGGGCGGUCUCCUGGCCCGUUACUGACGCUCAGGCACGAAAGCGGGGGGAGCAAACAGGAUUAGAUACCC
rnacentral:rRNA from 1 species